rnacentral:lncRNA from 1 species
AGUCUAAUAACUGAUCAGUACAACAAUGAUAACUAAGGGUUUGAUUUACUGAUGAAUUAUACAAAAAGGAUCAAGAAAAUUUUAAAAUGCAAGUGUGAAAUUAGAUAGUCACAGAAGUAACGGAUUUUGUAUCGAAAAGAUCACCUUGCUUAUUGGAUAUGCCACAGGAAACAGAGUCCAAAUAAGAAUAUGGACAACAGGAG